rnacentral:rRNA from 1 species
ACGGGAGGCAGCAGUGGGGAAUAUUGCACAAUGGGGGAAACCCUGAUGCAGCGACGCCGCGUGAGUGAAGAAGUAUUUCGGUAUGUAAAGCUCUAUCAGCAGGGAAGAAGAUGACGGUACCUGCACAAGAAGCCCCGGCUAACUACGUGCCAGCAGCCGCGGUAAUACGUAGGGGGCAAGCGUUAUCCGGAUUUACUGGGUGUAAAGGGAGCGUAGACGGCUCAGCAAGUCUGAAGUGAAAUAUCGGGGCUCAACCCCGGCACUGCUUUGGAAACUGUUGAGCUUGAGUAUCGGAGGGGUAAGCGGAACUCCUAGUGUAGCGGUGAAAUGCGUAGAUAUUAGGAAGAACACCGGUGGCGAAGGCGGCUUACUGGACGAUAACUGACGUUGAGGCUCGAAAGCGUGGGGAGCAAACAGGAUUAGAUACCCUGGUA